GACAGAGGGUGCAAACGUUGUUCGGAUUUACUGGGCGUAAAGCGCGUGUAGGCGGCUUUGCAAGUCGGAUGUGAAAGCCCACGGCUCAACCGUGGAAGUGCAUCCGAAACUGCAUGGCUGGAGUCUCGGAGAGGAAGGUGGAAUGCUUGGUGUAGAGGUGAAAUUCGUAGAUAUCAGGAGGAACACCGGUGGCGAAGGCGGCCUUCUGGACACUAACUGACGCUGAGACGCGAAAGCGUGGGGAGCAAACAGG
rnacentral:rRNA from 1 species